CCCGCCGCUGCCGCCUGCCCCGUGCCUUUGGGACGCCGGGCUCUCAGGGGAAGGCGGCGCGGGGGCCUGUCCGUCCCCCCUCUGCACCGAGCCGUCCUCCACAGUCGCUGUUCGGACGGGAGCCGGUUGGGAACGCGGUCGUCUCUUUGUUUGUCGCUCUUUGCGUUCGUCGAUUAAAUGUUUACCGUUCGUUUCUCGGCGCUUCUGCCCGCGGUCGUUUCUGCAGCUCCGGUAGGAUGCCGCUGCAUUUACAGUGCAAUCAAAUGAGAAUGUGACAGAGACUCUGUAAAUGGUGGAUUUUGCUUCUUUUCUAAAUGUUUCAUAAUCAGCCUGAAGUGCAUUGCCAAACACUUCAUUCCAAGAGCUCAUCUUAAUUGCUGCAUGGGAUCUUACUACGUGUCCUUGUGAUCCAUCGGUGCCACAGAACAAAUAAAUUUCUGUUAGGUG